AGGGAGAGCAGUGAGGUGGAGAGAGAGGAGGAAAAGCAGAGGAGCUGGGCUCUCAAGCCUGCCUGUACUAGCGUACUCCAUUGAUAUCCCAUUCCUGGCUAUUUGACCCUAAUAUAAGGAGAUACUCAAUCUCAAUUGUACAGCAAGAAGAUACAACAAGGAAAAGAUCACUGCCAAUAGCCAGUUAUGGUACUUCCUUGCAAGAAAUAAUUCCAAACCAGAUGUGACUCCUGAGCCUGAUGAGCUGAGCUGAAACAUGCCUGUAUGAAGAGAAGCCCAAACACUGUGCAGAAAUGAUGCCUUAUGCUCUGCAAUCUAAACAGAAACUCUCAAGUGAUUUCUUCUCCCCAGGUCACAUACUUGAGGCAGCUACAUGAAACAGACCAUUGAAGAAGAUCCUUUGGAUAAAGAGGAAUCGAAGCUCUAAUAUGUCAAGAAGGGCUAAAAGGGGGUCUUGGGGGAGCGGUUUGCUAAUCUUCCCCCACCCCUGCCCCUGCAAGCCUCUAACUGCUCCUCUGGAAUUAAAGCGACAUUAACAAAGACCCAACAUGAAAGCAAGCAGCAUGGUAAGAGACCUGGCAGAAUGCAUAAGAGAGAGACAGAGCGAGAGGAGAAGGGAUACAAAGAGAAAGAGGGGGAAAGAGAGCGGGAGAGAGCAAUCAUAGCAAGAGAAAGAACGGGGACAUGGAGCUUGGAGAUAGAGCACUCACAUUGCCUCGGAGGGUUCCCGGUUUAGGCUGCUCGUUGGGGCCUGCUGGAGAGACUGAGACCCUCCCAUCCUCGGCUUGCCCUUGAGUCGAGGCUAGCUGUGGGGAGCAGGGCCAGCUUCCUUGCUAAAUUCCCCCAGCAAGGAGCCCUGAGAGCUCUGCCUGCCUGGCCUGGGAUAGAUACUGCACUGCAGAUGGAAACAGCUGCUUGCAUCAGUAGCGGCGGCAGCCGCCACAGCAGCAGCAACAGGAACAGCAGCGGAGACACUUCAGCAGCAGCUUCCCUUCCAGCUUCCCUUCCCUGAACCGGAGCCAGGAUGGUGUGUCUGUGUGUGGUCCAAGCGAAGAUUCUGUUCUUAUUUAAAAAGGGGAGGGGGGGAUCCGGAGAGUGAUCCCAGCUACCGUGUAAGAAUCGAUGAUGUCAUCAAUCCCUAAUCAGCCACUUUCAAGCCAGCUGAACAACCAGCACCUUUGCAAGGCUCUGCUACUGGCUAGGAGAGAGAGAGUGGAAGAGAAAGAAAUGAAGACCCUCCCUUUAAGCAUACAUUGUCAGCUACUGUGCUGUGUCGCCCUGGGGGACCCGCAGGCAGAACCAUUGCAUUGUGUCGCCGGCCCUAGGCAUUUGAAAUGCAAAUGAAUCGGGUAAUAGAUCCAGUAUGCCCAGUUCCUAUUAUUGGAGGAGCACAAUGAUCAUUUUCCAAUACUGAUGUGGGGAAGGACUCUAGCACAAAUUGUAAGAUCCGAGCCGGGUCCAUUGUGUAGCUCAUCCCUCUUGGAAAAAAGGCAAUGGACUCUCCCAUCAAGGAAAGUGGGGAGAAUGGCCUGGGUAAGCCAAGGUAAACAAGCCAGUGUGUGAGCAUCCCAGAGCCAUAGGCUUGACAUCUCAGUUAACCAUUUUCUCUAGUCAAAAAGCUUGCUUCCCCACCCCCCACCCCUUCUUCAGGUUAAACAUGAACUCAGGAAAGACUGUGAUUCCCAGGGAUAGAAUGGUUGAACCUGUGAUGGGUUGCAGGCUCUGAAUAGAAACAGCAAUUCACCCUCAAUCCAAAAGUGUGCCCAUUUACGGAAGUCUGAGGGGCUCUCACCCAGCCAGCAAGGAAGAAGGGAGAGCACAGAUUCUCCAUUUGCUACUCAUACCAUAUUUGGCCAAAAACCUGAUUUCUCCACAAAGGAAAAACACAUUCCUAAUGUUCACACAAACCAAAGAGCAAUGCAGCCAUUCAAAACCCAAAGCAUUGUAGUAACUGUGGUGAUAAGAUAGAAAAAUUGAGGGCUAUAGAAAAAUCUUAAUUCAAUUUCCUCUUUAAGCUGUUUAAUCAAAUAGCCCACUGGUGUCUGAUUUUAAGGGCAGACAAUUGCCAAUGGAAGACCACUGAACUUAAAACAACCCCUGCAACUAUUAACUUCAUCUUCUGGAAUUGGAGUUCUCAACCCCUCAGAAUGCUUUUCUCAUAGAUUAUAGAUUGCCUUUCUCAUCACUCAUCAUCACUGCCUCUCCUUCUUCUGCCAGUCGAGUAUCUUAAAGACCUUUUGGCCCCUUCA